rnacentral:rRNA from 1 species
CCGUUCCCUAUAACAAUACAAACGCUUCAUUGUGUCUUGUAGAAUGCAAAUACCUUUGAUUAGGUGAAACUUAAAUAAUACAACUUUCAACAACGGAUCUCUUGGCUCUCGCAUCGAUGAAGAACGCAGCGAAAUGCGAUAAGUAAUGUGAAUUGCAGAAUUCAGUGAAUCAUCGAAUCUUUGAACGCACCUUGCGCUCCUUGGUAUUCCGAGGAGCAUGCCUGUUUGAGUGUCAUGUUAAUAUCAAUCCCUUUGGCUUUGUUGUCAUUGAGAUUGGACUUGGGGGGAUAAAUGCUGGCUUCAUUGUCGGCUCCUCUUGAAUGCAUUAGCCUUAGACCUUUCUUCGCGUCUUGCAGUGUGAUAGUUAUCAUUAUUCGCUCGGAUGCCUAGAAACAGGGUCUGCUUCUAAUCGUCGCAAGACAAACUAUUUCUUGACUCUGACCUCAAAUCAGGUAGGACUACCCGCUGAACUUAAGCAUAUCAAUAAGCGGAGGAAAAGAAACUAACAAGGAUUCCCCUAGUAACUGCGAGUGAAGCGGGAAAAGCUCAAAUUUAAAAUCUGGCGGUCUUUAGGUCGUCCGAGUUGUAAUCUGGAGAAGCGUUUUCCGUGC